AUCGCAUUGCAAGGCUGCUCUGGGAGCAGGAAAAGUGUUGUGUCACCAAACCUCUCCCACUACGUGAGCCUCAGCAAGGGGAGCAAAGCAAAGGCCUUUGUGGCUGAAGUGGCAGCUGAUCUUGGUGCACUGGCAGCCCAGCUGAGGGAGGAGGGGUCGGGGCAGAGGACAAAUGAAGACGAAAAGGGACAACAAAAAUGCAGUUUAUAGGGAAGCUUUGAGCUUUCUGCGGAGGACAAGGUAUGUGCCACGCAGCUAUUGUUCCCAGAGAUUCCUGCAGGACAGAAGCACAUCCAUAUUCAUGCGUACACCUUCUAUGUCUGAAAAGGUUCCUCGCUACAAUAUUUAAAUACCCGCUGCACCAUUGCCGUUAGAUCUGAGCGAAUAAUCCACAAUGAAUAAUGUAUCCAAUGAAUCCAUCCCCGCUAAUUGUGGAAUAUUCACGAGCAGAUGGCAAUUCCAGGCAGGUUUUUUUUUUGUUUUUUUUUCACGUUUCUUUUUUUCUCCACUCCGAGGACGGAGGUUUGCUGUAAGGAGGUGAUAUUUGAAAUUCAGGCUGUGUUCCCAAGUUCCAAUUGGCCGCUGGUGACAUGGUGGUGUCCCUCUUUCCGCAUUGGCCGGCUGUACAAAGUACUUUGGAUACAAAUACUUGCAUGUGCAGAUUUAAAAUGCAGUUUCCAUGGUUACUCAUGCGUGCAGCUUUGAACUUCACUUUCCUCCAACAUUUGUGCUACUAAAACUCAUUCAGUCGAAGGUUCGUGCAAAGAGGAUACAAAAGAUGCAUGAGGCUAUAUUUGCAUGCUUUAGUAUAGAUGAUUUGUCUUCACAAGCUCAGCCUGGAUAUUCACUGGGCUUUUCUGCCACCUCCUCUGGUGCCUGCUUUCAUGGCUUCCAGCCCACAGGAAUGCUCUUUCCCCCAUAUUAUCAGCCUUUGUGACGCCAGCUUUAGCAUCACAACUGCAUGCACAGCUGGUUGAUAGCUCUACCUGCAGGUCGAUGCAAACAUCUCCUAACCGGUUCUGCAUUCAGCACAGCAAGAUGUGAUCUCCAGCCACUUUGUGCCCAGCUGUGUGUAUUCAGGCUCAGAGCUGUUGACUUUAGCAAGAAAAGGAGUGCUGUCGCCCUGCACGGACUUGUUAAGACCCACAUGCAGAAUAUGAGCUUCAGCCGACCCUCCCUGGGAGAAGCCACGGAAGCAUCGUCC
rnacentral:lncRNA from 1 species